CCUACGUGAGACAGCAGUGGGGAAUAUUGCACAAUGGGGGAAACCCUGAUGCAGCGACGCCGCGUGAGUGAAGAAGUAAUUCGUUAUGUAAAGCUCUAUCAGCAGGGACGAAAAUGACGGUACCUGAGUAAGAAGCCCCGGCUAACUACGUGCCAGCAGCCGCGGUAAUACGUAGGGGGCAAGCGUUAUCCGGAUUUACUGGGUGUAAAGGGAGCGUAGACGGCAGUGCAAGUCUGGAGUGAAAGGCGGGGGCUCAACCCCCGGACUGCUCUGGAAACUGUACGGCUGGAGUGCAGGAGAGGUAAGUGGAAUUCCUAGUGUAGCGGUGAAAUGCGUAGAUAUUAGGAGGAACACCAGUGGCGAAGGCGGCUUACUGGACUGUAACUGACGUUGAGGCUCGAAAGCGUGGGGAGCAAACAGGAUUAGAUACCCCUGUAGUC
rnacentral:rRNA from 1 species